CGUCACCCUGCAACGACAAGAGCAAAGCAGGGCGUGUGGCAGAAUUCGGCCGUAGGAGAGCUGCGCCGGGAAGUCCGGGGUGGGAGGAGUCACAAGUCCCUCCACAGGGAGCACUCCCAGGAGCCCGAAAGCGUCACAAAGACGCUCGAUUAUGCCCGACGUUGCUUAUGGGACACCAGCUGCCGUCUCCCGACUAAGGAACGAGUCUUACUUUCAUGUGGGCAGAGGCUUUAGCCCAUAAACCUGCUGGGAGCCAAAGAGAGCUGGCAGCAGGCGAGCCUGAGAGCCCACACCCCCGCCUCUGAUCCUGAAGGACACCCACCCCGCCAGCCUCCGUGGGCCCACGGCCCGCAGGCUCAGAGGCGCCUGCCUCUCUGAGCACCUCUGUGUUUCCACGCUUGGACUCGAGUCCCGAGAGCGUCGUGCGUUUCCAGCUAAGGGUGAGGGCAGCCACGCCCACGCCCCGAUUUUUCAGGACUUUCUGCGAAGGGUCACGAGACGUGACUUCUGUCGGCAGAGGAGCCAGCUGCCCCCGGGGUCCCCGCCAGCCUCGCCUUUCCUGUCACGCUCUGCGGCGGCCGGCCCGGCCCAGCGCACCCCGUGCCAAGGGCGGUGUACCCACUGCUUGUCUUUGCAUCUGCGUGCCGCCACAGCCGGAGCCCAGAAACAGUCCUUCCCCAGGGCGGGGUCAAGGCUAUGACACGAAACUGCUCCUCUGUGCUUCCAGAAUCGCCAUCCCGGCAAGGCACGGGACAGAGGCAGCUGUGGCCUCUGGGCCUGGGAUUUCUUAAUCAGCCUGUGUCUCCCACGCGGAAACUACCGUGGGGCAUUCGGUCAACAGUAACGUGAGGGCGGCUUAUGCUAACGAGGGCUCCCCAUGCUCAAGCUCUGAGCUGAACACCCUCCGCAGAGUUCACGGUUAUGAGACCUCUGGAGUCCUGUCCUCUGGGGCCUAGUUACACAACUCGCCCCAGAUUCCUCUCUGGACGUAGCAGAGAAGGGCACAUGGGACGUUUUCUCUAGAGUCCACCUGUUUGCCCAGUGUCCGUCAGCACCCACCGUGGCCCAGGCACGGGGUCAGAAUAAAUGCCGUGCACAGAGCCUAGGAGGCGUGGGUGGCCACCUGGGGCGUCAGUGCCUCACUUGGUCUUCUGUGUGAGACACCUCCCGGCUCCGUCCUCCUCAGAGCCCUGUCGCCCCCCGUUACGGCCCCGACGCUCAAGGAAGGCCUGUCCUCACCUCUUGCUUCAGUGUCAGCCUCGCCAUGAUUUCAUCAUGAUCGAUGAGGGACAGCUCGUCAGCUUCCUCCUCCGACCGAGCCAACUCCGAAGCAUCUGGUGACCCUGGGGCCCUGGAGGGAGAAGUGGUUUGUGUCGCAAGCGCCCAAGAGGCCCCAGCAUCCAGGACAGCAGGGGCCCGAGGCAGUGCGGCCCGCUGCGUGAGGACUAGGAGUUACGACCGCCCCUGAACAGGUCCUUCUGGAACUGCGGCUACAACGGGGAAAUCCACACCCUUCCCCCCGCCCCAGCACAGGGGGCCCGAGUGGGGGCUGGGAGCCAGGGCACACACUGGAUUUCUGGUGCCACUACCGAUGAGCUCUGUGACCUUGGGACGUUUCUUGCUCUCUGCUCCGUCUGCCAUCUGCAGCUCUGAAAAAUGGUGCUCUCGGGUUCCGUGCAGCUGGAGGCUGAACCCAUGAGUCUCUGAUGCCUGGCGCAGCCCCUGUUUGCUGCCAGGUGUUCAACGAGAAGACCCAUCAUCCCUUGCUUAAUACUUGGGGAGAUCUUAGCCCGGGCAGACGGAUCAGACGGUCUCCACCCACACGGACGGCACUGAGGAGCGGCCAAGAGCAGGCUGGGCGGGCAGCCCUCUUCAGCGGGCCCCUAUCGAGCGCUUUCUGAUUCUUCUUCUGCCUCUUGCUAUUUACCACCUCUUGAACCGUUUAUGCUUAGGCCUGGCAAGCAGGACCCCAGAGGUAGCGGAACCUUGGCCUGCAGAGGGAGGAAAAGCUCGAACUUGUGGAACAUCUCGCUGAGAAGGCAGCGUCACCACGCGGUUGCCGAUGGCAGGGCCAGAGAGGAUCUGGAGGUCCCACGCGUACAGAAACGGACUACACGUUUCUAAACCGGGUCAGGUCUGACUCCGGCAAAUGCCGAAAAAUGUUACAAAAGAUUAAAGACACAUGGGGUUCCUGGGGGCUCAGUCGGUUAAGCGACCGGCUUUGGCUCAGGUCACGAUCUCCUGGUGUGUGGGUUCGAG